UACAGAGGUGGCAAGCGUUGUUCGGAAUUACUGGGCGUAAAGGGCGCGUAGGCGGCCAUCUAAGUCGGGUGUGAAAGCCCCGGGCUCAACCUGGGAAUUGCAUUCGAGACUGAAUGGCUAGGGUGCGGAAGAGGGAAGCGGAAUUUCCGGUGUAGCAGUGAGAUGCGUAGAUAUCGGAAGGAACACCAGUGGCGAAAGCGGCUUCCUGGUCCAGCACCGACGUUCAGGCACGAAAGCGUGGGGAGCAAACAGG
rnacentral:rRNA from 1 species